GCAGUGUUCUCUCCUGAGCUUCGUGAAGGUGGCUCUAGGUGUUGCUUCGGCAACUGCUUAUUGCCACUGGUGAUUGUCCUUCUCCUCCUUUGGGGGAGUAAGAGGGAGAGGACACAGGCUGA
ensembl:snoRNA U3 Small nucleolar RNA U3